UUUUAUUAGAACAAGUUUUUUACAUUUUCACUAAAACCAAAAAUCUAAUUUUUUUCAUACUGAUUGCUGCAAUUUGGGAGUAAUUUAAUUUGACCCAGGUGGCAUUGGAACAGCAUGAAACCUGUGUGCAGUGUUAGCACAGGGAGCCUGACUAACUACUGUGUUGCCAGAGGCUAUGUUUAUGUGUGUCCAGGUACAUAUGGUCAAUAAGUAGCCAGAGGAUCAGCUCUAAACAUUGGAAGCCUGAUUAGUGCCUGACCAAAGUCCAAGGGCUGAGGUCAGCUUUUCCUAGCUAUAUAUUUUUUUGUUGUUGUUGCUGUUCCUUAACUGACAAAAGGCUCAGCUCAACAGCCACUGUGGACUUACCAUGUGCUCUCAUCAGCCCCAAAUAGUGAAUUUAUCCAUCUGUGGUUUGCGAGCAUUUCUUAAGCAAAAGACUCAUGAGAAUGGAUCAGGUAGUGGCAAGAAAUCUGCAUUUAUACAUAUCUGAUGUUUUAAAUGUGCAUGCAAAAGAAAUACAGACAUUUUCUGAAAUCAGAAGAUUGUGAUUUGGAACUGAAGUCAGGAUACGACUUCUGUGCUUUAUUUUCUGUUGAAAUUCUUUGUUGGCUUCCAGUGAUAACCACUAAGCUCUUUCUGAAUAUAUAUUAAAAGCAAAUAUGCUAUAUGGCAACAUGAA